CAAUUAUCUGCUAUUUUAGUUUGCCUUGAAUCAUAAUUACUGACAAUGGGCAGUAGUUUGAUAAUUAGAAGUUCAAGAAAUUCUGUUUCAAGCUCCACAUUGAUCAUAAAUUCACUUUAGUUGGACAUCCACAGUCAAAUGGGGAAGCUGAAGUCACCAACAGAACCAUUCUUCAAGGUUUAAAAAUAAGGCUUACUGAAGCUAAAGGACUC
rnacentral:lncRNA from 1 species